rnacentral:rRNA from 1 species
UAGGGAAUCUUCGGCAAUGGACGGAAGUCUGACCGAGCAACGCCGCGUGAGUGAAGAAGGUUUUCGGAUCGUAAAGCUCUGUUGUAAGAGAAGAACGAGUGUGAGAGUGGAAAGCUCACACUGUGACGGUAUCUUACCAGAAAGGGACGGCUAACUACGUGCCAGCAGCCGCGGUAAUACGUAGGUCCCGAGCGUUGUCCGGAUUUAUUGGGCGUAAAGCGAGCGCAGGCGGUUAGAUAAGUCUGAAGUUAAAGGCUGUGGCUUAACCAUAGUACGCUUUGGAAACUGUUUAACUUGAGUGCAAGAGGGGAGAGUGGAAUUCCAUGUGUAGCGGUGAAAUGCGUAGAUAUAUGGAGGAACACCGGUGGCGAAAGCGGCUCUCUGGCUUGUAACUGACGCUGAGGCUCGAAAGCGUGGGGAGCAAACAGGAUUAGAUACCCUGGUAGUCCACGCCGUANCGAUGAGUGCUAGGUGUUAGACCCUUUCCGGGGUUUAGUGCCGCAGCUAACGCAUUAAGCACUCCGCCUGGGGAGUACGACCGCAAGGUU